rnacentral:misc_RNA from 1 species
UCCGGCUUUUCGCCUACAGUACCCUUAGGGUGCUCAGCUUUACCUGAUGGCAACUAAGGGCAAGGGUUGCGCUCGUUGCGGGACUUAACCCAACAUCUCAAGACACGAGCUGACGACAGCCAUGCACCACCUUGCACUCUGCCAAGUUUUACCUUGGAGGCCCCAUCUCUGGGGUUGUCAGAGGCAUUCUAGCCCAGGUAAGGUUCUUCGCGUUGCGUCGAAUUAAACCACAUGCUCCACCGCUUGUGCGGGUCCCCGUCAAUUCCUUUGAGUUUUAGCCUUGCGGCCGUACUUCCCAGGCGGGGUGCUUAAUGCGUUAGCUGCGGCACCGCAGGGGUCAAAGCCCGCGACACCUAGCACCCAUCGUUUACGGCGUGGACUAC